rnacentral:rRNA from 1 species
GGGUUGUGAGGUUAAGCGACUAAGCGUACACGGUGGAUGCCCUGGCAGUCAGAGGCGAUGAAGGACGUGCUAAUCUGCGAUAAGCGUCGGUAAGGUGAUAUGAACCGUUAUAACCGGCGAUUUCCGAAUGGGGAAACCCAGUGUGAUUCGUCACACUAUCAUUAACUGAAUCCAUAGGUUAAUGAGGCGAACCGGGGGAACUGAAACAUCUAAGUACCCCGAGGAAAAGAAAUCAACCGAGAUUCCCCCAGUAGCGGCGAGCGAACGGGGAGCAGCCCAGAGCCUGAAUCAGUGUGUGUGUUAGUGGAAGCGUCUGGAAAGGCGUGCGAUACAGGGUGACAGCCCCGUACACAAAAAUGCACAUGCUGUGAGCUCGAUGAGUAGGGCGGGACACGUGGUAUCCUGUCUGAAUAUGGGGGGACCAUCCUCCAAGGCUAAAUACUCCUGACUGACCGAUAGUGAACCAGUACCGUGAGGGAAAGGCGAAAAGAACCCCGGCGAGGGGAGUGAAAAAGAACCUGAAACCGUGUACGUACAAGCAGUGGGAGCCUCUUUAUGGGGUGACUGCGUACCUUUUGUAUAAUGGGUCAGCGACUUAUAUUCUGUAGCAAGGUUAACCGAAUAGGGGAGCCGAAGGGAAACCGAGUCUUAACUGGGCGUUAAGUUGCAGGGUAUAGACCCGAAACCCGGUGAUCUAGCCAUGGGCAGGUUGAAGGUUGGGUAACACUAACUGGAGGACCGAACCGACUAAUGUUGAAAAAUUAGCGGAUGACUUGUGGCUGGGGGUGAAAGGCCAAUCAAACCGGGAGAUAGCUGGUUCUCCCCGAAAGCUAUUUAGGUAGCGCCUCGUGAAUUCAUCUCCGGGGGUAGAGCACUGUUUCGGCAAGGGGGUCAUCCCGACUUACCAACCCGAUGCAAACUGCGAAUACCGGAGAAUGUUAUCACGGGAGACACACGGCGGGUGCUAACGUCCGUCGUGAAGAGGGAAACAACCCAGACCGCCAGCUAAGGUCCCAAAGUCAUGGUUAAGUGGGAAACGAUGUGGGAAGGCCCAGACAGCCAGGAUGUUGGCUUAGAAGCAGCCAUCAUUUAAAGAAAGCGUAAUAGCUCACUGGUCGAGUCGGCCUGCGCGGAAGAUGUAACGGGGCUAAACCAUGCACCGAAGCUGCGGCAGCGACACUAUGUGUUGUUGGGUAGGGGAGCGUUCUGUAAGCCGUUGAAGGUGUGCUGUGAGGCAUGCUGGAGGUAUCAGAAGUGCGAAUGCUGACAUAAGUAACGAUAAAGCGGGUGAAAAGCCCGCUCGCCGGAAGACCAAGGGUUCCUGUCCAACGUUAAUCGGGGCAGGGUGAGUCGACCCCUAAGGCGAGGCCGAAAGGCGUAGUCGAUGGGAAACAGGUUAAUAUUCCUGUACUUGGUGUUACUGCGAAGGGGGGACGGAGAAGGCUAUGUUGGCCGGGCGACGGUUGUCCCGGUUUAAGCGUGUAGGCUGAUUUUCCAGGCAAAUCCGGAGAAUCAAGGCUGAGGCGUGAUGACGAGGCACUACGGUGCUGAAGCAACAAAUGCCCUGCUUCCAGGAAAAGCCUCUAAGCAUCAGGUAACAUCAAAUCGUACCCCAAACCGACACAGGUGGUCAGGUAGAGAAUACCAAGGCGCUUGAGAGAACUCGGGUGAAGGAACUAGGCAAAAUGGUGCCGUAACUUCGGGAGAAGGCACGCUGAUGGUAGGUGAAGCGACUUGCUCGUGGAGCUGAAAUCAGUCGAAGAUACCAGCUGGCUGCAACUGUUUAUUAAAAACACAGCACUGUGCAAACACGAAAGUGGACGUAUACGGUGUGACGCCUGCCCGGUGCCGGAAGGUUAAUUGAUGGGGUCAGCCGCAAGGCGAAGCUCUUGAUCGAAGCCCCGGUAAACGGCGGCCGUAACUAUAACGGUCCUAAGGUAGCGAAAUUCCUUGUCGGGUAAGUUCCGACCUGCACGAAUGGCGUAAUGAUGGCCAGGCUGUCUCCACCCGAGACUCAGUGAAAUUGAACUCGCUGUGAAGAUGCAGUGUACCCGCGGCAAGACGGAAAGACCCCGUGAACCUUUACUAUAGCUUGACACUGAACAUUGAGCCUUGAUGUGUAGGAUAGGUGGGAGGCUUUGAAGUGUGGACGCCAGUCUGCAUGGAGCCGACCUUGAAAUACCACCCUUUAAUGUUUGAUGUUCUAACGUGGACCCGUGAUCCGGGUUGCGGACAGUGUCUGGUGGGUAGUUUGACUGGGGCGGUCUCCUCCUAAAGAGUAACGGAGGAGCACGAAGGUUGGCUAAUCCUGGUCGGACAUCAGGAGGUUAGUGCAAUGGCAUAAGCCAGCUUGACUGCGAGCGUGACGGCGCGAGCAGGUGCGAAAGCAGGUCAUAGUGAUCCGGUGGUUCUGAAUGGAAGGGCCAUCGCUCAACGGAUAAAAGGUACUCCGGGGAUAACAGGCUGAUACCGCCCAAGAGUUCAUAUCGACGGCGGUGUUUGGCACCUCGAUGUCGGCUCAUCACAUCCUGGGGCUGAAGUAGGUCCCAAGGGUAUGGCUGUUCGCCAUUUAAAGUGGUACGCGAGCUGGGUUUAGAACGUCGUGAGACAGUUCGGUCCCUAUCUGCCGUGGGCGCUGGAGAACUGAGGGGGGCUGCUCCUAGUACGAGAGGACCGGAGUGGACGCAUCACUGGUGUUCGGGUUGUCAUGCCAAUGGCACUGCCCGGUAGCUAAAUGCGGAAGAGAUAAGUGCUGAAAGCAUCUAAGCACGAAACUUGCCCCGAGAUGAGUUCUCCCUGAGACUUUAAGUCUCCUGAAGGAACGUUGAAGACGACGACGUUGAUAGGCCGGGUGUGUAAGCGCAGCGAUGCGUUGAGCUAACCGGUACUAAUGAACCGUGAGGCUUAACCUUACAACGCCGAAG